ensembl:lincRNA
AUGGUCUACUUCCUUGUAAACCUCAUCUUCUCACAUUCCACUGCGCCUGCCCUAGAGGAAACGGGACCAGAAGUUCCCAAGGCAGACCUCUCCUGCCUCGGCCGGGCCAGAGUCCUGUGGCAAAGGCCAGCUAGGCCCAUCAGCCCGUUCCCGGGGUGGAGCCCCAGAGAGGUUGCCUGGGAGGAAGAGGAACCCCCCCGUGCUCCAGCUCUUCUCCCACAUCUCAUGGGCUCUGGAGCCAGGCACAAGCGGGGAAGAGGCUCAAGACUGCAUUUCCUAAAGCAAUUUGAACACGAAAUGCUUUACAUUCAUUAUAUUUGCUGAUAUGAAUGGAAAUCCAAAUCUGCACUUACUUGUAGUUUCUGUUUCUUUUUGGUAAUAGAGCAAUCACCAUAAAAAUAGAAUUUGGUGGGUAGCACCUUCAGUGUCUGCAUGAAAUACUCUCUUACACCUUGGAUGCUGGAGGAGGAGGUACCUCCCUGAGGGGCAGGUUGGCAGUGCCCGAGGGCCCAGCUGGCUCUGGGCCUCACAGGAUGGGUGGAGACCAACUCAAAUGUUCUCUCCCUCUCUAGGACUUGGCCUAGAGGCCUUCUUUUCUUUGGUUCUUUCUUGAUGACCAUUUCCUGUUGUGACUAUUCUCAACCCCGCCACUUGUUACACAGGGUGGCAGGGAAGGCAGGGGGGCCAAGGGUUUCUGUCCUGUGAGGUCUGAAUUCCACCUCGGAAGUCUGAAUUCCAAGCAGAAAGAGUGCAGCCCUGGAAGGCUGAGGGAGCUGAAUCUCAGAUGGGAAGGGGGCCCUGUCCGACUCAGGAUGGCACGAGGACCUGGAGUAAGACUGUCUCUCCCAGGACCAGGGGGAUGGGUAGGAAGCCGCCAGGUCACCCACCAAGGUGAGCACAAAGAAACAAACAGCUGGCGUCCGGAGAAGAGAUCUCUUGUGGGACAGUCCCAGGAGGUGAAGCCCCUCAGUGUUGAAGUCCCGUUGCCUCUGCUCACUGGAUGCUAUAGCUUUGCCCUCCUCCAGCCAAGUUAGGACAAACAAAAAUAUUCCGGGGUUGCUGGAAAGCUCAGGAGUAGAGUGCCGGCUGAGCUCAUGUGGGGCCCUGCCUGGUUCCAUCCCCAGGGUCACAAAGUAAAUAUCCUAUCAGGAAGCGGUGAGCAUGGGUCCCUUGGCCCUAAGAAGCUAAAGCUUACUGAGGGGCAGGUGCUCUUCCUGAGCCCAACUCAGCUACUGCGUGGCUCUCUCUGUUCUCGGGUCUCUCGGUUUGGUGUCUUUCUCACAUGCUUUUCCUAAUUCUGAGACUUCUUCCCCUUUCCCUCCUGAACAGCAGGGCACAGGCCAUAGGCAUGGACGGUGUAGCAGCUGGAAGGGAAAAAAAGAAGCCCUACAGUUUCUUUCCCGCAGACUAAGUGUUAAUUACGGGGAUGAGAUGUUGCCUCAGCUAUAAGUCAACACGCAGCGGGCUCCCAACAAAACAGCAGGUUAGCACAGCCCUGGCCGUGACCUGGAGGGGACACUGAAGGCCUGAGUCAGGACAGACGCUGCCCCUCCUUACUUUAAGGAGGCCACCUGCCCACCACAGUCCUUACCCACCCAAGGCCCACUGAGGUGCCCACCCGAGCAAGAGGCAUUUUAUUCAGAUUCGAUGAGAAAACUGUCAGAGGCAAAGCGAGGGUGAGAGCCGAGGCACACAACCCAAUAAGGGGAGAGCUGCCAGCAGAACCCAGUCUGCAUGUCUUACUCAGGGGGUUUUCCAAGAGGUUCACGGUACAAAGAGCCACCCAAGCUGCUCCAGCUAACAUGAGGACACCAGCACCACAGUUAAGUUGGCCCUGGGGUCCGGGAUGGAAUUCGGACUUGAGGGAAAACUUGGGCUUGUGAGUAUCUACGCAGUUUGAUUCAAGGGAGAAGCUGGGGUGGGUUAAGAACUAGAAUUAGCUCCAAGGGUGCCUACCCAGGAACUAAUUUAGUCUCUUAAGAAGAGCCUGAUUGCAACCUUGGGAUGGUGGUGCCUCUCUGUAAUUCUAGCUACUUGGGAGGAUGAGGCAGGAGGAUUGCAAACUGGAACCCAACCUGGGCAACUUAGCAAGAGCUUGACUCAAAUUUUUAAAAGACCACGGGUGCAGCUCAGUGAUUUCUGAGUUCAUUCCCCCGUACUGGGGGUGGGGGCCACUCAGGCAGAAGGGUCUGGAAUGACCAAGGCAAAGUCAUAUGACCUAUGUCUAGACUGAAUGUUGGGAUUGGAAGGGACCUUAAGGUCACAGGCUUGACCUCAUGUGACAGAUAAAAAAGCUGAGCUUGGCCAAAUUCACAAAGAUACAGGGUAGAAUGGCGGCUUCUGGGGUGGGGAGAAGGAGUUAUUGCUUUAUGGGUGUGGAGGUUUGUUUUGGAAAGUUGGAAAGGUUCUGGAGGUGGAGGUGGGGAUGGUUGCCCAACAAAACGAACAGACUUAAGGCUCUGAACCGUGCACUUGGAAAUGGUUGACACGGUGUUAUGUCUAUUUUACAGUGAAAAAAAUAAUAGCAAAAAUGCUAAGCCUGGAACAUAAAGCCCAAACUCACAGACCAGCAGCUCUCACGACCUGUAAGCUCACCCAGGGACUCCUGCCUUUUUGGCUGCCCUCCCCCAAGUCUCUCUCGGGCCCUGUCCUGGGGCUGCUCCUUGGAGAAAGGCCUGCCCAUGCCCUUUAGCUUAUCAGGGGGAGUGGUUUUCCUUUGUAUCGCUCCUCAGGGGAAAAGGGGUUCAACAGCCAGAACUAUGCCCCACCUAGCCAGAUGAGCCAUUUCCCAAAAUAGCCCCCGCUGUAGUGCUGCUGUUGGAAGACGGUGUGGAAAGAGACAGAAACAUUCACUAAGAUCCCAUUCUGUACUCAGGGGGCCAGAUGAUCUGCCCAAGCCCCUGCCCUCACCAGGACCUCAUUUUAUUGAGAGGUUAUGCUACCACACAUGUAGUGGUUCUGGAUUUCCCUGCCAGCCAGCCACUCCUGAGCAAUUGCUCCAGGAUUUACAGGGAAUAGGAAAGGCCCUAGUUGGGCUGGGGAUUUAGCUCAGUGGUGCUGCCACAAGUACAAGGUCCUGAGUUCGAUCCCCAGUACAAAGAAAGCAAGCAAGCGAGCAAGAAAGAAAGAAAAGCCAGGUGUGGUAGCACACGCCUGUAAUCCCAGCACUCGGGAGGCUGAGGCAGGAGGAUCACUGCAAGUUCCAGACCAGCCUGGGCUACAUAGUGAGUUCCAGGUCAGUCUCCACUACAUAGAUCCUGUCUCAAACAAACAAACAACAGAAAAAAGAAAACCCUCUCUAAACCUAAAGGAAAUUAGGUUAUGGAGAGAAAAAAUAAUAAUAAUAUGCAACAACAGAGACAGUCUAUACAAACAGAGGGACACCAGUGCAAGGAGCUGCUGAAGAAAUCCGAGCGAUGACCC